rnacentral:rRNA from 1 species
UAACCUGCCCAAGAGAUCGGGAUAACACCUGGAAACAGAUGCUAAUACCGGAUAACAACAGAUGAUGCCUAUCAACUGUUUAAAAGAUGGUUCUGCUAUCACUCUUGGAUGGACCUGCGGUGCAUUAGCUAGUUGGUAGGGUAACGGCCUACCAAGGCGAUGAUGCAUAGCCGAGUUGAGAGACUGAUCGGCCACAUUGGGACUGAGACACGGCCCAAACCUCCUACGGGAGGCAGCAGU